UGCCUUCGGGAGCCAGAACACAGGUGCUGCAUGGCUGUCGUCAGCUCGUGUCGUGAGAUGUGGGUUAAGUCCCGCAACGAGCGCAACCCUUGUCAUUAGUUGCCAUCAUUUAGUUGGGCACUCUAAUGAGACUGCCGGUGACAAACCGGAGGAAGGUGGGGAUGACGUCAAGUCCUCAUGGCCCUUAUGGGUAGGGCUUCACACGUCAUACAAUGGUCGGUACAGAGGGUUGCCAAGCCGCGAGGUGGAGCCAAUCCCUUAAAGCCGAUCGUAGUCCGGAUCGUAGUCUGCAACUCGACUACGUGAAGUCGGGAUCGCUAGUAAUCGCAAAUCAGCAUGCUGCGGUGAAUACGUUCCCGGGUCUU
rnacentral:rRNA from 1 species